GAUGAACGCUGGCGGCGUGCUUAACACAUGCAAGUCGAACGAUGAAGCCCAGCUUGCUGGGUGGAUUAGUGGCGAACGGGUGAGUAACACGUGAGUAACCUGCCCUUAACUCUGGGAUAAGCCUGGGAAACUGGGUCUAAUACCGGAUAGGAGCGUCCACCGCAUGGUGGGUGUUGGAAAGAUUUAUCGGUUUUGGAUGGACUCGCGGCCUAUCAGCUUGUUGGUGAGGUAAUGGCUCACCAAGGCGACGACGGGUAGCCGGCCUGAGAGGGUGACCGGCCACACUGGGACUGAGACACGGCCCAGACUCCUACGGGGGGCAGCAGUGGGGAAUAUUGCAAAAUGGGCGAAAGCCGGAGGCAGCGACGCCGGGUGAGGGAGGACGGCCUUCGGGUUGAAAACCUCUUUCAGUGGGGAAGAAGCGAAAGGGACGGUACCGGCAGAAGAAGCACCGGCUAACUACGU
rnacentral:rRNA from 1 species